rnacentral:rRNA from 1 species
GUCGAGGAUCUUCGGCAAUGGGCGCAAGCCUGACCGAGCGACGCCGCGUGCGCGAUGAAGGCCUUCGGGUUGUAAAGCGCUGUCGAGGGGGAGGAAGCCCGCGAGGGUUGACCUAUCCCUGGAGGAAGCACGGGCUAAGUUCGUGCCAGCAGCCGCGGUAAGACGAACCGUGCGAACGUUGUUCGGAAUCACUGGGCUUAAAGGGCGCGUAGGCGGGCACGCAAGUCAGGGGUGAAAUCCUCCGGCUCAACCGGAGAACAGCUUCCGAUACUGCGUGCCUCGAGGGGGGUAGGGGCGCGUGGAACUUCCGGUGGAGCGGUGAAAUGCGUAGAUAUCGGAAGGAACGCCGGUGGCGAAAGCGACGCGCUGGGCCCUUUCUGACGCUGAGGCGCGAAAGCCAGGGGAGCAAACGGGAUUAGAAACCCCGGUAGUCC